UUCCUUCUCUCUUUCUCUUCCUGGUAUACCCAUUUCCCGUGUCUCAUUUUCCUUCUCUCUUUCUCUUCCUGCUAUACCCAUUUCCCGUGUCUCAUUUUCCUGAGAAUUUUGGUGCAUGUGAUAAUAGAGCGCAGGAGAAUGUAGAUCAAUUGGAUAUCAACAAGCCGGUAGGAGUGAGUUACACUUCUCUAAGGUGGGUGGGCAACGAGUAACGAAAUCAAAUCCCCUGUCAAGAAACAAGUAAAACUCAAGCUUAUCUGGUAAAGACUCAACCUUCUCACCACCUCCUCCUCCUCCUCUCUCGGACUGAACCACUUCCUUUCUUGGACCGACCUCCUACUGGAGCCUUGACUAAGAAAAAAAAAUGGAGCCAGCUUAAAUCUCAAGAUAUAUGUAUGAUGCUGUUAGGUUGAGGAGAACAUUUGCAAGUUUGCAAAGAAGGGUCUUUUUCCAUCUCAGAUCAACUUCGUCAUUUGCUAAGUUCUGGUUAAUAGGUCCAUUAUCUAAAGAGGAUAAGGAGAUUGAGUCUAGCUUAGCAAAAUACCUCAAAGAACAACGCAAAUUACUUGGAGACACAUCAAUGAUAUGUCCUGAGGUGAUGGAGUGGUGCAACUAUUUUAUCUCAGCUUAUUUAAUUUAGCAAAAUUCUUCAAUAAUUGAGUCAGCAAUUGGAGCGAGAGACCAAGAAGCUUCCCUCCAUUUAGAAGUAGUUGGGGAUCGAAUUGGCAAGGAGCAUUGUAAAGUUAAUUUGUAAGAGGUACGAAAUUUUUUCUUUUAACUCUUAUUAUUAAUAUCUUAAAAAUGUUAGAGGAGUUUGAAUAUCUUAAAUAUUCAUCCAUAGAGAAGUAGGUUCUGAGAUUAAAAUUGUGUGCUGCGGUGAUAACGGAAGGUUGAAAACUUGUGUGUAUUAGAGAAGUAGGUUCUGGAAAAUUUGUUUGUGUGCUGCGGUGAUAUAAGGAAGAAAACUUAUUGUGUGUUGUUUGAAUUUUUUGACUUGGUAUUGAUAGAUGGUUAGGUAAGCUUUUAUAUGUAUAGAUUAGAUUUUUCAUUAUAUGUAUAGAUUAAA